GACGAACGCUGGCGGCGUGCUUAACACAUGCAAGUCGAACGGAAAGGCCCUGCUUGCAGGGUACUCGAGUGGCGAACGGGUGAGUAACACGUGGGUGAUCUGCCCUGCACUUCGGGAUAAGCCUGGGAAACUGGGUCUAAUACCGGAUAGGAGCCAUUUUUAGUGUGAUGGUUGGAAAGUUUUUUCGGUGUAGGAUGAGCUCGCGGCCUAUCAGCUUGUUGGUGGGGUAAUGGCCUACCAAGGCGGCGACGGGUAGCCGGCCUGCGAGGGUGGACGGCCACAUUGGGACUGAGAUACGGCCCAGACUCCGACGGGAGGCAGCAGUGGGGAAGAUUGCACAAUGGGCGCAAGCCUGAUGCAGCGACGCCGCGUGGGGGAUGACGGCCUUCGGGUUGUAAACUCCUUUCGCUAGGGACGAAGCUUUUUGUGACGGUACCUAGAUAAGAAGCACCGGCUAACUACGUG
rnacentral:rRNA from 1 species